ACAUACAACCAUAGACUCAAGAGAACUAGGCAUCCUGUCCGCUCUGCUAUACAUAACCUUGAGAUCAGUGGAUUAGUAGUUGGGUAGGUGACCACUAGCGAAUACCUACUGUUGUAUGUU
rfam:Pseudogymnoascus pannorum VKM F-4517 (FW-2822) contig_4101, whole genome shotgun sequence.